CCUACGGGGUGCAGCAGUGGGGAAUAAUGGACAAUGGGCGAAAGCCUGAUCCAGCCAUGCCGCGUGUGUGAAGAAGGCCUUCGGGUUGUAAAGCACUUUCAGUGGGGAAGAAAGCCUUGGGGCUAAUACCCUCGAGGAAGGACAUCACCCACAGAAGAAGCACCGGCUAACUCCGUGCCAGCAGCCGCGGUAAUACGGAGGGUGCGAGCGUUAAUCGGAAUUACUGGGCGUAAAGCGCGCGUAGGCGGUCUGAUAAGCCGGUUGUGAAAGCCCCGGGCUCAACCUGGGAACGGCAUCCGGAACUGUCAGGCUAGAGUGCAGGAGAGGAAGGUAGAAUUCCCGGUGUAGCGGUGAAAUGCGUAGAGAUCGGGAGGAAUACCAGUGGCGAAGGCGGCCUUCUGGACUGACACUGACGCUGAGGUGCGAAAGCGUGGGUAGCAAACAGGAUUAGAUACCCGGGUAGUC
rnacentral:rRNA from 1 species